CCCGUUUAGGAUUAGGUUUACGCGGAGUGCUUCUCGCGUCUCCAGAUCGAAAGGCGACACCUCUUGCGCAGCUGACCUUCCGUCUCCUUCGUCGCAAGCACUCAAAAACCGAUCAAUCAAUCAUCUUUAAUCCCCCCCCCCUUCCAUUAAUCUAUCACCCACGAUCUGGAUUCAAUGCGAUAUUGUUGAUGUGCAAGGCGUUUGAGUCGACUAUAAAAAGAUUUCACGACAUCAUCUUUAUGCUACCCGAGAACUUGGACUGAGAUAGAAAAUAUUGAGCUUUGAUAUGCUUUAAGUUUUAGAUCUUUCAGCCUCAUGUCAUGUUCAUAUGUCUGAUUUUUUGAAAAAUUUGACUGAGUGGAAUAUGCAUUCUUCCGCAAAGGAUCGUGAAUAUGACUCAAAGAGACAGGUAUGUUAUUGAUUGAAACAACCAUGGUUUCGUUUCUUUCUCUGAAUGUGUCUUCUCUUUUGAAUUAGUCCAUGGACGAGAGCAAGCUCAAGAGAUGCUCCACUUCAUCCACCCAUUUUUUGUUUUGUUUUUCUUAGGCUGAAGCAGCUGAUUAGGCGACAGAUCCUUUGCAAAAGGAGAACGUAGGUACAGAGCUUUUGGAGACUUUGGUUUAGUAUGGUUAAGAUGGACCUUGGAGAUGAAUAUAUUUUCUCGGUCCUAACUCCUUUUGGAUUCUUUCCUUUAGUACUUCAACAGCAGCUCUGUCAAUGGCAUCUUUAUAUGGAGAAAAAUCGCCUCUGUUGACUUAGAUUAGGGUCCUUCACCAAUCUACAAGCAGUUCCUUACGCCAGGCGGUGUAUUCACAACUAUAAAAGACGGGCGAUGUUCCUCCACCGUUGAGGUGCGACUGCUCAGAUUCUUGGCAGCAAGGAACGUCAAACUCGGUGGUGAGCUGAUGGCAUCGAUAUGCUUCUAUUCAUGAUUCUAAGAGACACAUAGCUGUUUCGACAAGGAGACUUAUGCAGGGGAAAGUUACUUUACAAGCUGGUCUCCAAAGACACUGGGAAUACAUCAGCAGCUUCACUUUUUAGAGGCUACGUAAAGGUUGAACGUUUGACCAUUGCUGAUCACAACGAGUUUAUCAUCACUACUCCAUCUCAGGAGAUUGAUUUCGUUUGCCUGCACCUGGAAGGUCAACGGCAUCGAGAUGGACAAAGGGUGGUGUUAAGUUUCUUGCUCCAAGUGUACCAAGAAACUUCAGUGGACUGUCUCAUCCUUUACCUGCGUGCACUGCAACAAUACUAAUGUUGUUGGUGUCCUCCGGUAUGUAUCAUUCAGUAACAUUUUUUUAUCAAUCAUUUGCACCAAAAGUCCACACACGCAGAUAUACCCCUGAUUUUAAAUGCAUGUUUACUGACUGAUAUCGUGUGGAGAUGACCAUUGCUAAUGAUACUUCUGAAGGUCUAUUUGAUGGUUUUGAUUGGGAAAUGACAAACUUACAUAACAUCAGUGCCUGUGAAGCUGGUUCUGUUGGUUGGAGAGUUUGUGAACCCAUAGGAAACUCAGGUCCCCCUCCCCAUUUUUUGCAGACAUGCAGCAAGCACCGACUACUGGAGCAGCUCCAAGUGGUGCCGACAAUAAGAAGCCUCCAGCUGGAGCAGCUUCCAAGAUGGCCAAGAAAGCAUGGAUGGCAUAGGUUAAGAUAAUAAGAGCUCUGGAUGCAGUAUUUCCUCUUUAAAUAACACAUCAGUGUUUCUUUACAAUUUUAGUUUUGUUUUCCCCCUCUGGAGCUACGUUUGGUUCGGACAAUCUUUAUAAAAUUUUAGUUCUUUUUU